ACCUCACUAUCUUGAGUUUGAAAUUUCUUCUACUCCAACCACCCAUAUAGCUCUUUUGGGGCUCACACACUUCCUCCCUGUAGCCUCUCCUGAGUUGGUCUACUUCCUUGCUGUCUGGCGGUAUUUCUGUUUCACACAGUACCAGUGUGAAGGUGGGCAACUUUUCUUUGGAGAUGUGUCGACUUUUUCCAGCUUCACAAAUUUGGGGUUGUCUAUAUCCCCCAUUAGUGAUCACUGAAUUCAGAUCUUAUUGCAUUCCUAAGAUGACUAUGUAGCAGAAAAGGGAUCUUGUAAGCUGCUGAAUCAAGUCCUAUUUUUGGUUGAGUGAUACAGGAAGUCUGAGUUCUUCAAAUGAGUUUUCAAAUUAACAAAUGAGCACUUUUCCAUGCUUGCAUCAAGUGCACAUGCAUGGUUCUUGAAAGAACAGAUCCACGGGACAAGAGAAAAGUGUGUCAGCAGCCAUCACCGCCCCUCUGCAGGAAAAGACUGCUGAAAAUGUACCAUCUCACUCACCAAGAAGGCUCCUUACAAGAGCAAGGCCCCGUAAAGACAGACACUGCUAGACUUCCUUCACAAAGGCCUGCAUGUUAAAGCCUGGAGGGAAGUGAUACAAAGACUAGGUCAUCAAACUAAACAAAACCAGAAAACAGCUCUCCCAGCAACCAAAACAACUCUGCAAAGGAUAUGAUAUUACUGAAGGCUAAAGUGUUUACACUGAGCU
rnacentral:lncRNA from 1 species